rnacentral:rRNA from 1 species
AUUGAACGCUGGCGGCAUGCCUUACACAUGCAAGUCGAACGGCAGCACGGGAGCAAUCCUGGUGGCGAGUGGCGAACGGGUGAGUAAUAUAUCGGAACGUGCCCAGUCGUGGGGAUAACGUAGCGAAAGCUACGCUAAUACCGCAUACGAUCUAUGGAUGAAAGCGGGGGAUCGCAAGACCUCGCGCGAUUGGAGCGGCCGAUAUCAGAUUAGGUAGUUGGUGAGGUAAAGGCUCACCCAAGCCGACGAUCUGUAGCUGGUCUGAGAGGACGACCAGCCACACUGGGACUGAGACACGGCCCAGACUCCUACGGGGGGCAGCAGUGGGAAUUUUGGACAAUGGGCGCAAGCCUGAUCCAGCAAUGCCGCGUGCAGGAUGAAGGCCUUCGGUUGUAACUGCUUUUGUUACGGAACGAACGGUGAGNCUAAUACAGUUUAGCUAAUGAC